rnacentral:rRNA from 1 species
AGAACGAACGCUGGCGGCACGCCUAACACAUGCAAGUCGAGCGCCCAGCAAUGGGAGCGGCGGACGGGUGAGGAACACGUGGGAACAUGCCUUUCGGUACGGAACAACUCAGGGAAACUUGAGCUAAUGCCGUAUGCGCCGGUAACGGGAAAGAUUUAUCGCCGAAAGAUUGGCCCGCGUUGGAUUAGCUAGUUGGUGAGGUAACGGCUCACCAAGGCGACGAUCCAUAGCUGGUUUGAGAGAACGACCAGCCACACUGGGACUGAGACACGGCCCAGACUCCUACGGGAGGCAGCAGUGGGGAAUCUUGGACAAUGGAGGAAACUCUGAUCCAGCGAUGCCGCGUGAGUGAUGAAGGCCUUCGGGUUGUAAACUCUUUUACCCGGGAAGAUAAUGACUGUACCGGGAGAAUAAGCUCCGGCUAACUUCGUGCCAGCAGCCGC